UCCAUGUGUAGNGUGAAAUGCGUAGAUAUAUGGAGGAACACCGGUGGCGAAAGCGGCUCUNUGGUCUGUAACUGACGCUGAGGCUCGAAAGCGUGGGGAGCGAACAGGAUUAGAUACCCUGGUAGNCCACGCCGUAAACGAUGAGUGCUAGGUGUUGGGUCCUUUCCGGGACUCAGUGCCGCAGCUAACGCAUUAAGCACUCCGCCUGGGGAGUACGACCGCAAGGUUGAAACUCAAAGGAAUUGACGGGGGCCCGCACAAGCGGUGGAGCAUGUGGNNAAUUCGAAGCAACGCGAAGAACCUUACCAGGUCUUGACAUCCCUCUGACCGCCCUAGAGAUAGGGUUUCUCUUUUGAGCAGAGGAGACAGGUGGUGCAUGGUUGUCGUCAGCUCGUGUCGUGAGAUGUUGGGUUAAGUCCCGCAACGAGCGCAACCCCUAUUGUUAGUUGCCAUCAUUUAGUUGGGCACUCUAGCGAGACUGCCGGUAAUAAACCGGAGGAAGGUGGGGAUGACGUCAAAUCAUCAUGCCCCUUAUGACCUGGGCUACACACGUGCUACAAUGGCUGGUACAACGAGUCGCAAGUCGGUGACGGCAAGCUAAUCUCUUAAAGCCAGUCUCAGUUCGGAUUGUAGGCUGCAACUCGCCUACAUGAAGUCGGAAUCGCUAGUAAUCGCGGAUCAGCACGCCGCGGUGAAUACGUUCUCGGGCCUUGUACACACCGCCCGUCACACCACGAGAGUUUGUAACACCCGAAGUCGGUGAGGUAACCGCAAGGAGCCAGCCGCCUAAGG
rnacentral:rRNA from 1 species